GCUAGGCUCUGUGGUGCAUGCCUGUAGUCCCAGCUACUCGGGAGGCUGAGGGUGGAGGAUCUCUUGAGCCCAGGAGUUCUGGACUGCAGUGCACUAAGCCAAUCCAGUGUCUGCACUAAGUUCAGCAUCAGUACGUUGACCUCCCCAGAAAUGAGGACCACCAGGUUGCCUAAGGAGGGGUGAACUGGCCCGGGUCGGAAACAGAGGUUAAAGCUCCCGUGCUGAUCAGUAGUGGGAUCAGUCUGUGAAUAGCCACUGCACACCAGCCUGGGCAGCAUCUCUUCUGUUU
ensembl:misc_RNA Metazoa_SRP Metazoan signal recognition particle RNA